rnacentral:rRNA from 1 species
AGUGAACGCUGGCGGUAGGCCUAACACAUGCAAGUCGAACGGCAGCACAGUAAGAGCUUGCUCUUACGGGUGGCGAGUGGCGGACGGGUGAGGAAUACAUCGGAAUCUACUUUUUCGUGGGGGAUAACGUAGGGAAACUUACGCUAAUACCGCAUACGACCUACGGGUGAAAGCAGGGGAUCUUCGGACCUUGCGCGAUUGAAUGAGCCGAUGUCGGAUUAGCUAGUUGGCGGGGUAAAGGCCCACCAAGGCGACGAUCCGUAGCUGGUCUGAGAGGAUGGUCAGCCACACUGGAACUGAGACACGGUCCAGACUCCUACGGGAGGCAGCAGUGGGGAAUAUUGGACAAUGGGCGCAAGCCUGAUCCAGCCAUACCGCGUGGGUGAAGAAGGCCUUCGGGUUGUAAAGCCCUUUUGUUGGGAAAGAAAAGCAGCAGGUUAAUACCCCGCUGUUCUGACGGUACCCAAAGAAUAAGCAUCGGCUAACUUCGUG